CAGCCGCCACGGGAAUACGGAGGGGGCUAGCGUUGUUCGGAAUUACUGGGCGUAAAGCGCACGUAGGCGGCUUGGUAAGCUAGAGGUGAAAGCCCAGGGCUCAACCCUGGAAUUGCCUUUAAGACUGCCGAGCUAGUAGGUGAGAGAGGUGAGUGGAAUUCCGAGUGUAGAGGUGAAAUUCGUAGAUAUUCGGAAGAACACCAGUGGCGAAGGCGGCUCACUGGCUCAUUCUAGACGCUGAGGUGCGAAAGCGUGGGGAGCAAACAGGAUUAGAUACCCCCGUAGUCCCUGUCUCUUAUAC
rnacentral:rRNA from 1 species